rnacentral:lncRNA from 1 species
UUAGCUCUGGUGGGUGCAAACCAUUGAUUAAUAUGGAUAAGAUAAAUACCUCUGGCAUUUGGUGAUUUGGCCACUUACUGAGUAUAUCAGCCACUCGGAUAUAGUAUGAUUCUACCGCCUCCUCUAAGAUCAUUUUGCUGUUCAUUAACCUCUCUCGAAGGCGGUUCUCAAAACCAAUUGGCCAAAAAUGAGAUAAAAAUACAUUCUUCAAUGCUUCCCAGUUCAAAAAUUGACCCACUGGUUGGCGGUUGUACCAUUCAAAUGCCGUGUCUUUUAAGGUCGCUGGCAGCCAUCGUAAUCAAAUAUCUUCAGUUCUGCCAUUAUUAGCUAUAUAUGCUAUAAAAAACUGAGACAAAUAUUGAUCUGAUCUGCAUCCAAAAAUCCCCAAAAAGUAGGUAGUGGCACGACACUAGUCGUACGAUCUCCUACUGCAUCCAUUUGUACUGCAAUCAGAACGCCUGGUCCUCCUGACGCCAUUGAAUUUCUUGUUCCGCUAA